UGAGGCUCCGGCUGGAAGGACUUCGUUUGUGAUAAGAGCAGAGAGGAAAAGCAGCAAGAAAGAAAAGUCGCUGUACACUUUGGGUCUGGACAUCAAAGAAACAAAGGAAAUGCUUAGAUUCAGAGUGGCACGUGUGUAGAAAAAAGUCCUGCUUUCCUGUCUUGGGGGACACCACUAUCAUCCCAUGGCUGAGACCUGCGUCUGGUCCCUGCUAGACACCCAGCGAGGGUUGACAGCAUGAGCGAAUGAGCUUCUCCGUCUGCCCGUAAGUGUGAUGGACACCUUCUCCUACAGCCACCCGUUUCACACAUCAGGCAAACGUCUGUCAAGUCCACUCCUGAAAAUCCUGAAGGAUGUGGCAUUGGACAGGUGAUGCAGUCACAGCCUCGCCCUAGGCCACUCCGGGUCUCUGCUGCCAGGCUACGAGGAGCAGAGAAACACAGGUCCUCUAGCGCAGAUACUUUCUCCAUGCAAGUCUUGAACUUCUGAAAGUCAUCCAUGUGGGUUAAAAUAAACUUCUUCCAAACUCCUGUGAAUAUUGAUAAUUGAUCUUCUCUUAUGAAUUAUGAAUGUUCUUAAUGACAUCUCAAAUGGUAAAUCCUUUCCAAAAGGCUUUCAGUUUACCUCACCCAGCUCCAUCAGAGGACUCACUAUCUAUGGCAGCUAUGGCCUUAUGAAAUGUAUUUCUCAAAUAAUAAGACUUGAAAGUAGAAAUGACUCCAUGAUCUAUGGGCUGCAGAAUGGAUGUUGUGUGAGCAGGCAUGAAAACAACAUUCAGGCCAGGCAUGGUGCCUCACGCCUGUAGUCCCAGUACUUUGGGAGUCCGAGGCGGGAGGAUCACUUGAGGUCAGGAGUUCGAGACCAGCCUGGCCAACAUGGUGAAACCCUGUCUCUACUAAAACUACAAAGUUAGCUGGGCGUGGUGGCGGGUGCCUGUAAUCCUAGCUACUUGGGAGGUUGAGGCAGGAGAAUUGCUUGACCCUGGGAGGCAGAGGUUGCAGUGAGCCAAGAUCACUCCAUGCCACUGCACUCCAGCCUGGGGGAGAGAACAAGACUCUGUCUCAAAACAAACAAACAAACAAACAAACAACAACAUUAAUCUCCUUGUACAUCUCCAGUAGAGAUCUUGGGUGACCAGGUGCACUGUCAAUAAGUAGCAAUAUUUUGGAAAGAAUCAUUUUCCUAAGAAGUAAGUCUUAACAGUGGGCUUAAAGUAUUCAGCAAACCAUACUGUACACAGAUGUGCCGUUAUCCAGGCUUUGCUGGUCCAUUUAUAGAGCACAGGCAGAGUAGAUUUAACGUAAUCCUUAAGAGCCCUAGGAUGUUUGGAUUGGUAAAAUUGGCUUCAACUUAAAGUCACCAGCUGCAUUAUCUCUCCACAAGAGAGUGAGCCUGACCUUUGAAGAUUUGAAGCCAGUUAUUGACUUCUCUCCAGCCAUGAAAGUCCUAGAAGGCAUCUUCUUCCAAUAGAAGGCUGUUUGGUCUACACUGAAAGUCUGUUGUUUAGUGGAGCCAUCUUCAUUGACGGUCUUAGCUAGAUCUUCUAAAGAACUUGCUGCAGCUUCUCCAUGAGCACUUGUUAUUUCACCUUACACUUUUAUGUUAUGGAGACGGCUUCCUUCCUUAAACCUCAUGAACCAACCUCUGCCAGCUUCAAACUUUUCUUUUGCAGCUUCCUUACCUCCCUUGGCCUUCACAGAAUUGAAGAGAGUUAGGGCCUUGCUCUGGAUUAGGCUGUGGCUGCAGGGAAUGUUGUGGCUGGCUUGAUCUUCUAUCCAAAGCACUAAAUCUCGCUCCAUAUCAGCAAGGAGCUUGUGUCACUUUCUUAGCAGUUGUGUGUUCACUGGCAUAGCACUUUUAAUUUCCUUCAAAAACUUUUCCUUUUUAUUCACAACUUGGCUAACUGGCACAAGAGGCCCAGCUUUCAGCCUAUCUUGGCUUUCACCAUGGCUUCCUCACUAAGCUUAAUCAUUUCUAGCUUUUGAUUGAAACUGAAAGAUAAUGUGACCCUUCUUUUACUUGAACACUUACAGGCUGUGGUUGGGUUUCAAUGUUGUUGAAACCCAACAUUGUUUUUGUGUCUCAGGGAAUGGGGAGGCCCCAGGAGAGGGAGGGAGACCAGAAACGGCCA
rnacentral:lncRNA from 1 species